GCCGGGUGUGGUGACUCACACCUGUAAUCCCAGCACUCUGGGAGGCUGAGGCAGGAGGAUCGCUUGAGCCCAGGAGUUUGAGACCAGCCUGGGCAAGAUAGUGGGACCCUGUCUCUG
rnacentral:SRP_RNA from 1 species